GGAGGUAAAGAAUAAUAUAUAGGAAGUGGUAUUUCGGCCAUCGGGAAAGUUUCGGGGUCUCCCGGUAAUGUACCGGGACCACCGGAAGGGUCCCGGGGGUCCACCGGGUGGGGCCACCUAUCCCGGAGGGCCCCAUGGGCUGAAGUGGGAGGGGAACCAGCCCAUAGUGGGCUGGUGCGCCCCCCUAGGCCCACCCCCUGCGCCUAGGGUUGAAACCCUAGGGGUGGGGGCGCCCCACUUGGCUUGGGGGGCACUCCACCCCCCUUGGCCGCCGCCCCCCUGGAGAUUGGAUCUCCAGGGGCCGGCCUCCCCCCCAGGGGGCCUAUAUAAAGGGGGGGAGGGAGGGGGGCUGCUGUACCCAUCUCCAAGGCGCAGCCCCUCCCCUCCCCAACACCUCUCCUCCUCCGUAAGUGCUUAGCGAAGCCCUGUCGGAGUACUGCUUCUCCACCAUCACCACGCCGUCGUGCUGCCGGUGGAGCUGUCUUCCUCAACCUCUCCUUCCUCCUUGCUGGAUCAAGACGGAGGAGACGUCGCUCGUCCCGUACGUGUGUUGAACGCGGAGGUGCUGUCCGUUCAGCACUUGGACAUCGGUGAUCUGAAUCACGUUCGAGUACGACUCCAUCAUCACCUUGCAAGCUUCCGCACGCGAUCUACAAGUGGUAUGUAGAUGCAAUCUCUCUCCCAAUACUCGUUGCUUAGAUGAACUCAUAGAUGGAUCUUGGUGAAACCGUAGGAAAAAUUUUAAUUUUCUGCAACGUUCCCCAACAGUGGUAUCAGAGCUAGGUCUAUGCGUAGUUCUUUAAUGCACGAGUAGAACACAAUUUGUUGUGGGCGUUGAUCUUGUCAUCUUACUUGCCUCUACUAGUCUUUUCUUGCUCAACGGUAUUGUGGGAUGAAGCGGCCCGGACCAACCUUACACGUACGCUUACGUGAGACCGGUUCCACCGAUUAACAUGCACUAGUUGCAUAAGGUGGCUGGCGGGUGUCUGUCUCUCCCACUUUAGUUGCAGCGGAUUCGAUGAACAGGGCCCUUAUGAAGGGUAAAUAGAAGUUGACAAAAUCACGUUGUGGUGAUUCGUAGGUAAGAAAACGUUCUUGCUAGAACCCAAUCGCAGCCACGUAAAAGAUGCAAACAACAAUUAGAGGACGUCUAACUUGUUUUUGCAGCGAUUGAUCAUGUGAUGUGAUAUGGCCAGAAGUUGUGAUGAAUGAUGAAUUGUGAUGUAUGAGAUCAUGUUCUUGUAAUAGGAUUCACGACUUGCAUGUCGAUGAGUAUGACAACCGGGAGGAGCCAUAGGAGUUGUCUUUAUUUUUUGUAUGACCUGCGUGUCAUUGAAGAACGCCAUGUAAACUACUUUACUUUAUUGCUAAACGCGUUAGUCAUAGAAGUAGAAGUAGUCGUUGGCGUGACAACUUCAUGAAGACACGAUGAUGGAGAUCAUGAUGAUGGAGAUCAUGGUGUCAAGCCGGUGACAAGAUGAUCAUGGAGCCCGAAGAUGGAGAUCAAUGGAGCUUUAUGAUAUUGGCCAUAUCAUGUCACAACUAUAUAUAAUUGCAUGUGAUGUUUAUUAUGUUUAUGCAUCUUGUUUACUUAGGACGACGGUAGUAAAUAAGAUGAUCCCUUACAAAAUUUCAAGAAGUGUUCUCCCCUAACUGUGCACCGUUGCUACAGUUCGUCGCUUCUAAGCACCACGUGAUGAUCGGGUGUGAUGGAUUCUUACGUUCACAUACAACGGGUGUAAGACAGUUUUACACAGCGAAAACACUUAGGGUUAACUUGACGAGCCUAGCAUGUGCAGACAUGGCCUCGGAACACGGAGACCGAAAGGUCGAACACGAGUCGUAUGGAAGAUACGAUCAACAUGAAGAUGUUCACCGACGAUGACCAGUCCGUCUCACGUGAUGAUCGGACACGGGCUAGUCGACUCGGAUCGUGUAACACUUAGAUAACUAGAGGGAUGUCUAAUCUAAGUGGGAGUUCAUAAUUUUGAUUAGAACUUUAUUAUCAUGAACUUAGUCUAAAACCUUUUGCAAAUUUGUCUUGUAGAUCAAUGGCCAACGCUAAUGUCAACAUGAACUUCAACGCGUUCCUAGAGAAAACCAAGCUGAAAGAUGAUGGCAGCAACUAUAUGGACCGGGUCCGGAACCUGAGGAUCAUCCUCAUAGCUGCCAAGAAACAAUAUGUCCUAGAAGCACCGUUAGGUGACCCACCCGUUCUCCCAGCACUGCAAGACGAUUUGAACGUUUGGCAGACUCGUGCUGAUGAUUACUCCCUCGUUCAGUGCGGCAUGCUUUACAGCUUAGAACCGGGGCUCCAAAAGCGUUUUGAGCAUCACGGAGCAUAUGAGAUGUUCGAAGAGCUGAAACUAGUUUUCCAAGCUCAUGCCCGGGUCGAGAGAUAUGAUGUCUCCGACAAGUUCUACAGUUGUAAGAUGGAGGAAAACAGUUCUGUCAGUGAGCACAUCCUGAAGAUGUCUGGGUUGCACAACCGUAUGACCCAGCUGAACAUUAACCUCCCAGAUGAGGCGGUCAUUGACAGAAUCCUCCAGUCGCUCCCACCAAGCUACAAGAGCUUUGUGAUGAACUACAACAUGCAGGGGAUGGUGAAGACCAUUCCUGAAGUGUUCUCGAUGCUGAAGUCAGCAGAGGCUGAAAUCAAGAAAGAACAUCAAGUGUUGAUGGUCAAUAAGACCACUAAGUUCAAGAAGGGCAAGGGUAAGAANNNNNNNNNNNNNNNNNNNNNNNNNNNNNNNNNNNNNNNNNNNNNNNNNNNNNNNNNNNNNNNNNNNNNNNNNNNNNNNNNNNNNNNNNNNNNNNNNNNNNNNNNNNNNNNNNNNNNNNNNNNNNNNNNNNNNNNNNNNNNNNNNNNNNNNNNNNNNNNNNNNNNNNNNNNNNNNNNNNNNNNNNNNNNNNNNNNNNNNNNNNNNNNNNNNACUCGUAGUAACUCCUGGGUAUUUGAUACCGGUGCCGUUGCUCAUAUUUGUAACUCACAGCAGGAGCUGCGGAAUAAACGGAGACUGGCGAAGGACGAGGUGACGAUGCGCGUCGGGAAUGGUUCCAGAGUCGAUGUGAUCGCCGUCGGCACGCUGCCUCUACAUUUACCCACGGGAUUAGUUUUGAACCUCAAUAAUUGUUAUUUAGUGCCAAGUUUGAGCAUGAACAUUGUAUCUGGAUCUCGUUUAAUACGAGAUGGCUACUCAUUUAAGUCUGAGAAUAAUGGUUGUUCGAUUUAUAUGAGAGAUAUGUUUUAUGGUCAUGCUCCGAUGGUCAAUGGUUUAUUCUUAAUGAAUCUCGAGCGUAAUAUUACACAUGUUCAUAGUGUGGAUGCCAAAAGAUGUAAAGUUGAUAACGAUAGUCCCACAUACUUGUGGCACUGCCGCCUUGGUCACAUUGGUGUCAAGCGCAUGAAGAAGCUCCAUGCUGAUGGACUUUUAGAGUCUCUUGAUUAUGAAUCGUUUGACACAUGCGAACCAUGCCUCUUAGGCAAAAUGACCAAGACUCCGUUCUCCGGAACAAUGGAGCGAGCAACCAACUUGUUGGAAAUCAUACAUACCGAUGUGUGCGGUCCAAUGAGCGUUGAGGCUCGCGGAGGAUAUCGUUAUGUUCUCACUCUCACUGAUGACUUGAGUAGAUAUGGUUAUGUCUACUUAAUGAAACACAAGUCAGAGACCUUUGAAAAGUUCAAGGAAUUUCAGAGUGAGGUAGAGAAUCAACGUGACCGAAAGAUAAAGUUCUUACGAUCAGAUCGUGGAGGAGAAUACUUAAGUCACGAGUUUGGUACACACUUAAGGAAAUGUGGAAUCGUUUCACAACUCACGCCGCCUGGAACACCUCAGCGAAACGGUGUGUCCGAACGUCGUAAUCGCAGUCUAUUGGAUAUGGUGCGGUCUAUGAUGUCUCUUACCGAUUUACCGCUAUCAUUUUGGGGAUACGCUCUAGAGACAGCUACAUUCACUUUAAAUAAGGCACCGUCUAAAUCCGUUGAGACGACACCGUAUGAAUUAUGGUUUGGGAAGAAACCUAAGCUGUCGUUUCUAAAAGUUUGGGGAUGCGAUGCUUAUGUCAAGAAACUUCAACCUGGAAAGCUCGAACCCAAGUCGGAAAAAUGCGUAUUCAUAGGAUACCCUAAGGAAACUGUCGGGUAUACCUUCUACUUAAGAUCCGAAUGCAAGAUCUUUGUUGCCAAGAACGGAUGCUUUCUGGAAAAAGAGUUUCUCUCGAAAGAAGUAAGUGGGAGGAAAGUAGAACUCGAUGAAGUACUACCUCUCGAACGGGAAAGUGGUGCAGCGCAGAAAACCGUUCCUGUGAUGCCCGCACCAACUGAAGAGGAAAACAAUGAUGAUGAUCAAGGUACUUCAGAUCAAGUUGCUACUGAACUUCGAAGGUCCACAAGGACACGUUCCGCACCAGAGUGGUACGGCAACCCUGUCAUGGAAAUCAUGUUGUUAGACAACAAUGAACCUUCGAACUAUGAAGAAGCAAAGGCGGGCCCAGAUUCCAACAAAUGGCUUGAAGCCAUGAAAUCCGAGAUAGAAUCCAUGUAUGAAAACAAAGUAUGGACUUUGACAGACUUGCCCGAUGAUCGGCGAGCGAUAGAAAACAAAUGGAUUUUUAAGAAGAAGACGGACGCGGAUGGUAAUGUUACCAUCUAUAAAGCUCGACUUGUCGCUAAGGGUUAUUGACAAGUUCAAGGGAUUGACUACGACGAGACAUUCUCUCCCGUAGCGAAGCUUAAGUCCGUUCGAAUCAUGUUAGCAAUUGCCGCAUACUAUGAUUAUGAGAUAUGGCAGAUGGACGUCAAAACGGCAUUCCUUAACGGACAUCUUAAGGAAGAGCUGUAUAUGAUGCAGCCGGAAGGUUUUGUCGAUCCUCAGAACGCUAACAAAGUAUGCAAGCUCCAGCGAUCCAUUUAUGGGCUGGUGCAAGCAUCUCGGAGUUGGAACAUUCGCUUUGAUGAGAUGAUCAAAGCGUUUGGGUUUAUGCAGACUUAUGGAGAAGCCUGCGUUUACAAGAAAGUGAGUGGGAGCUCCGUAGCAUUUCUCAUAUUAUAUGUAGAUGACAUACUCUUGAUGGGAAAUGAUACAAAAUUCCUGGACAGCAUUAAGGCCUACUUGAACAAGUGUUUUUCAAUGAAGGACCUUGGAGAAGCUGCUUAUAUAUUAGGCAUCAAGAUCUAUAGAGAUAGAUCGAGACGCCUCAUAGGUCUUUCACAAAGCACAUACCUUGAUAAGAUUUUGAAGAGGUUCAAAAUGGAUCAAUCCAAGAAAGGGUUCUUGCCUAUGUUACAAGGUGUGAGAUUGAGCUCAGCUCAGUCACCGACCACGGCAAAAGAUAAAGAAGAGAUGAGUGUCAUCCCCUAUGCUUCGGCCAUAGGAUCUAUUAUGUAUGCCAUGCUGUGUACCAGACAGCGGUCAAGAAUAUCCUGAAGUACCUGAAAAGGACAAAGGACAUGUUUCUCGUUUAUGGAGGAGACGAAGAGCUCGUCGUAAAGGGUUACGUCGACGCUAGCUUCGACUCAGAUCUGGAUGACUCUAAGUCACAAACCGGAUACGUGUAUAUGUUGAAUGGUGGAGCAGUAAGCUGGUGCAGCUGCAAGCAGAGCGUCGUGGCGGGAUCUACGUGUGAAGCGGAGUACAUGGCAGCCUCGGAGGCAGCGCAUGAAGCAAUUUGGGUGAAGGAGUUCAUCACCGACCUAGGAGUCAUACCCAAUGCGUCGGGGCCAAUCAAACUCUUCUGUGACAACACUGGAGCUAUUGCCCUUGCCAAGGAGCCCAGGUUUUACAAAAAGACCAGGCACAUCAAGCGUCGUUUCAACUCCAUCCGUGAAAACGUUCAAGAUGGAGACAUAGAGAUUUGCAAAGUGCACACAGAUCUGAAUGUCGCAGAUCCGUUGACUAAACCUCUCUCGCGUGCAAAACAUGAUCAACACCAGAACUCUAUGGGUGUUCGAUUCAUCACAAUGUAACUAGAUUAGUGACUCUAGUGCAAGUGGGAGACUGUUGGAAAUAUGCCCUAGAGGCAAUAAUAAAAGUAUUAUUAUAUUUCAUUGUUCAUGAUAAUUGUCCUUUUGUUCAUGCUAUAACUGUAUUAUCCGGAAAUCGUAAUACACGUGUGAACACAUAGACCACAAUAUGUCCCUAGUGAGCCUCCAGUUGACUAGCUCGUUGUGAUCAACAGAUAUUCAUGGUUUCCUGACUAUGGACAUUGGAUGUCGUUGAUAACGGGAUCACAUCAUUAGGAGAAUGAUGUGAUGGACAAGACCCAAUCUUAAGCAUAGCAUAAAAGAUCGUGUAGUUCGUUUGCUAGAGCUUUGCCAAUGUCAAGUAUCUCUUCCUUCGACCAUGAGAUCGUGUAACUCCCGGAUACCGUAGGAGUGCCUUGGGUGUAUCAAACGUCACAACGUAACUGGGUGACUAUAAAGGUGCAUUACAGGUAUCUCCGAAAGUAUCUAUUGGGUUGACACGGAUCGAGACUGGGAUUUGUCACUCCGUAUGACGGAGAGGUAUCUCUGGGCCCACUCGGUAAUGCAUCAUCAUAAUGAGCUCAAGGUGACCAAGGAGUUGGCCACGGGAUCAUGCAUUACGGUACGAGUAAAAUGACUUGCCGGUAACGAGACUGAACAUGGUAUUGGGAUACCGACGAUCGAGUCUCGGGCAAGUAACGUACCGAUUGACAAAGGGAAUUGCAUACAGGGUUUGAUCGAAUCCUCGACAUCGUGGUUCAACCGAUGAAAUCAUCGAGGAGCAUGUGGGAGCCAACAUGGGUAUCCAGACCCCGCUGUUGGUUAUUGCCCGAGAGUCAUCUCGGUCAUGUCUGCGUGUCUCCCGAACCCGUAGGGUCUACACACUUAAGGUUCGGUGACGCUAGGGUUAGUAGGAAGUCAAGUAUGUGACUACCGAAUGUUGUUCGGAGUCCCGGAUGAGAUCCCGGACGUCACGAGGAGUUUCGGAAUGGUCCGGAGGUAAAGAAUAAUAUAUAGGAAGUGGUAUUUCGGCCAUCGGGAAAGUUUCGGGGUCUCCCGGUAAUGUACCGGGACCACCGGAAGGGUCCCGGGGGUCCACCGGGUGGGGCCACCUAUCCCGGAGGGCCCCAUGGGCUGAAGUGGGAGGGGAACCAGCCCAUAGUGGGCUGGUGCGCCCCCCUAGGCCCACCCCCUGCGCCUAGGGUUGAAACCCUAGGGGUGGGGGGGCGCCCCACUUGGCUUGGGGGGCACUCCACCCCCCUUGGCCGCCGCCCCCCCUGGAGAUUGGAUCUCCAGGGGCCGGCCUCCCCCCCAGGGGGCCUAUAUAAAGGGGGGGAGGGAGGGGGGCUGCUGUACCCAUCUCCAAGGCGCAGCCCCUCCCCUCCCCAACACCUCUCCUCCUCCGUAAGUGCUCAGCGAAGCCCUGUCGGAGUACUGCUUCUCCACCAUCACCACGCCGUCGUGCUGCCGGUGGAGCUGUCUUCCUCAACCUCUCCUUCCUCCUUGAUGGAUCAAGACGGAGGAGACGUCGCUCGUCCCGUACGUGUGUUGAACGCGGAGGUGUUGUCCGUUCAGCACUUGGACAUCGGUGAUCUGAAUCACGUUCGAGUACGACUCCAUCAUCACCUUGCAAGCUUCCGCACGCGAUCUACAAGUGGUAUGUAGAUGCAAUCUCUCUCCCAAUACUCGUUGCUUAGAUGAACUCAUAGAUGGAUCUUGGUGAAACCGUAGGAAAAAUUUUAAUUUUCUGCAACGUUCCCCAAC
rnacentral:lncRNA from 1 species